AACUUCAUGUUCUGGACUGAACAUCACCUCCACUCCUCGUGUAUCAGACUGUGUUCUCUGCUGGACGCUGCUGUUCAGUGUGUGUCCGGUGUGUGUUCUUCUCUCCUCGAUCUGUGUGUACUGCCUCUGUCAAAGGAAAACUACAGAUUCUGAGCAGAUUGCAGAGAUACUCACCGCAAAUGUUAUUAAGGGGGAUCCUACAGUGAAACAUCAGUGUGAGACGAGAAAAACUGGAAAGAUCUGCCUCCACACUGAAGUCUCUUAUAGACUGCUGACAUCUUCAUAUCCCUAUGCCAAGAUGUGAUUCUACUGCUCAGUUUAAGCAACGUACUGAAAACUUCCUGCUUUCUAUUGCUCUCUUUUUGUACUCAACAACAUCAGUUAUGAUUUCUGAACUUGCUUUUUUUCAAGCCUGCUUUAACCACAUUUACACAUGCACACAUCCAACUAACU